UACAGAGGGUGCAAGCGUUAAUCGGAAUUACUGGGCGUAAAGCGUGCGUAGACGGUUGCGUAAGUCAGAUGUGAAAGCCCCGGGCUCAACCUGGGAAUUGCAUUUGAGACUGAAUAGCUAGGGUGCGGAAGAGGGAAGCGGAAUUUCCGGUGUAGCGGUGAAAUGCGUAGAUAUCGGAAGGAACACCAGUGGCGAAAGCGGCUUCCUGGUCCAGCACCGACGUCAGGCACGAAAGCGUGGGGAGCAAACAGG
rnacentral:rRNA from 1 species